UGUUUAGUGUACACUAGCGAUUUCCACAUUCUAGCGGAUCGCUUCUGCAGGCGGGUGUCAUCUGGCCUGCUUCCAGUGCAUGUCCAGCUUAUCCACGCAGUAGGGUCAAGUGCCAACAUUCCUAGCUCUGCAGACACGUCCGGACCUGCACCAGCCUCGACCGCCAUCUCGUCGAGACCUACAAUAACAGCCCCCUCCGCAUCUGAACCAGUAGCGGCCACGUGGGAUCCUGUAGCGCACACAGCCCACUUGUUGGAGCAGGACGUGGAGUUGCUCCUCUCCUGACCACUCAUCGACUUGUGUGAUGAGGAUACACGACCUGCACACGGCACAUCGAAUGCUGGUGGUGUUAAACAACAACAAGAUGGAGAAAUGGAGCCAACCAUAGUAUACAACCUGGACACUACCAGACCACCUCAGCCACUGCUGGCAGCCAACUCACUGGAGGGGCCUUCACCAGCUCCACACGCCACACCAGGGUCGACAUCAAUGGAUGUCCUCCCAACUGCCCCAGCUGCCAGUGCAAAUCUUACCUACUACGGGGACACAGAUGAGCUUCACCAUCUCCUCCCCUCGGCAAUGGUGUGCUGUUCCGAGGCUUAACGCCUGUAGUGUCAGCAACCAACAUCACAUCAGUGCUUUGAAGAUGUUUAAUAUACAGGACACAGUUUUCCAGAAGACUGGCAGCCCUGCUCUGUCGUCCACCAGGAGGCGACCCGAGUGCCACUAGAGUCUGCAAGCCGCACAGACCUUCUCUCUUUCACAGGAGACACGUGAUCGAAACCAAGCCCAUUGUAUCCUAGCUCUGAGUGGUAUUUAGGGCAGCACUUAGGCCAGAGGAGACCAGACCGCUACAAGUUAGCUUUCCUGGGCCAGACGCCGAUUCUGCAAACGAUUCCAUCAAUCAGGGUUCUCACUAGAGAGCUGCCUCCACGGUGUCGCCGCCAUUCCUGUCUGACUUAGUGAUCCCAGUAGCUUAUAGCUGUGGACUUAAGCCACCUUCUCGAAGAAGAUGGGGCUCUGUCCUUGUGCUGAAUUGUAGACUUGUAAAUUUAUUCGUGUUUAACUUUUGAAACAGCUGAAAGCUGGGAUUAGUAAAUUUUGCUCCCUAUAGGACUUCGAGUUUUAUAUAUGUGUAUAUGAUGAACCUAGAGUCAGUGAGAUUCAAACCGGCCUCCAGCCAUGGGAAGUAUUAUUGUUUUGUUCCAAGAAGUGCUUAUUUUAUGUUUUGCUUCAAUCGACGUCGGAUUA